GAUGAACGCUGGCGGCGUGCCUAAUACAUGCAAGUCGAGCGAACAGACGAGGAGCUUGCUCCUCUGACGUUAGCGGCGGACGGGUGAGUCACACGUGGAUAACCUCCCUAUCAGACUGGGAAAACUUCGGGAAACCGGAGCUAAUACCGGAUAAUAUCUUGAACCGCAUGGUUGAAUAGUGAAAGACGGUUUUGCUGUCACUUAUAGAUGGAUCCGCGCCGCUUUAGCGAGUUGGUAAGUUAACGGGUCAUCAAGGGAACGCGGCGUAGGCGAGCUGAGAGGGUGAUCGCCGACCCUGGAACUGAGCCACGGACCAGACGCCUGCGGGAGGCCGCAGUAUGGAAUCGUCCGCAGUGGGCGAGAGCCUGACGGAGCGACGCCGCGUGAGUGAUGGAGGCCUUCGGUGCGGAAAACUGUGUUAUUAGUUAAGAACAAAUUUGUAAUUAACUAUGCACGUCUUGACGGUACCUAAUCAGGAAGCCCCGGCUAACUACGUG
rnacentral:rRNA from 1 species